rnacentral:hammerhead_ribozyme from 1 species
CCACUGCCGAGGAGUCCCACAAUAGGACGAGACGGCCGUUCAGUGC